UGGGUUGUGACUCAGUGGUAGAGUGCUCACCUAGCAUGCACGAGGCACUGGGUUCGAUCCUCAGCAACACAU
rnacentral:tRNA from 1 species